rnacentral:rRNA from 1 species
GACGAACGCUGGCGGCGUGCCUAAUACAUGCCAGUUGAGCGAUGAAGAUUGGUGCUUGCACCAAUUUGAAGAGCAGCGAACGGGUGAGUAACGCGCGGGGAAUCUGCCUUUGAGCGGGGGACAACAUUUGGAAACGAAUGCUAAUACCGCAUAACAACUUUAAACAUAAGUUUUAAGUUUGAAAGAUGCAAUUGCAUCACUCAAAGAUGAUCCCGCGUUGUAUUAGCUAGUUGGUGAGGUAAAGGCUCACCAAGGCGAUGAUACAUAGCCGACCUGAGAGGGUGAUCGGCCACAUUGGGACUGAGACACGGCCCAAACUCCUACGGGAGGCAGCAGUAGGGAAUCUUCGGCAAUGGACGAAAGUCUGACCGAGCAACGCCGCGUGAGUGAAGAAGGUUUUCGGAUCGUAAAACUCUGUUGGUAGAGAAGAACGUUGGUGAGAGUGGAAAGCUCAUCAAGUGACGGUAACUACCCAGAAAGGGACGGCUAACUACGU